CUACGGGCUGCUCCAGUGAGGAAUAUUGCACAAUGGGGGGAACCCUGAUGCAGCAACGCCGCGUGGAGGAUGACGCAUUUCGGUGUGUAAACUCCUUUUAUAUGUCAAGAAAAUGACGGUAGCAUAUGAAUAAGCACCGGCUAACUCCGUGCCAGCAGCCGCGGUAAUACGGAGGGUGCAAGCGUUACUCGGAAUCACAGGGCGUAAAGGACGCGUAGGCGGGUUGGAAAGUCAGGUGUGAAAUCCUACAGCUGAACUGUAGAACUGCACUUGAAACUUCUAAUCUAGAGUAUGGGAGGGGGAGAUGGAAUUAGUGGUGUAGGGGUAAAAUCCGUAGAUAUCACUAGGAAUACCUAAAGCGAAGGCGAUCUCCUGGAACAUUACUGACGCUAAGGCGUGAAAGCGUGGGGAGCAAACAGGAUUAGAUACCCUUGUAGUC
rnacentral:rRNA from 1 species